GAACGGGUUGCUUGUUGGUAGAAGCACCAUCGACACCAAGUUGAUGGCGGCCACUUCAUGGCCCCGGUGGUUCGAUUCCACCCCCGUUCG
rnacentral:tRNA from 1 species